AAUACUCAAGGAGUGCUCCAAUAGAAAUAUUUUACUUUCCAGGUAUCCAAUUCUAAUCCUAUAUUAUUUUGUAACUUUUUUUUUUACUUGGUGAAAUUAUAGUUUGUGCAAUGUUUUUAUUCAUAUUUAUUUUCCUCAAUUGAAUUGAAUUUGGAAGUAGUAGCUUCAGGCUUUCUUUGUUUUGCUGCCUUCCCCGUGAAAGAAAAUGAAAAUGAAGAACUGGAGGCUAUAGCUAGCCAGAAAUUUGUAGAAGAAUAUCAGGUAUUUCACUAUUUAUUUUUUAAAAUAUAUCAGUUUCAUGGACCCUAUUCAAAUAGAGUCAUAACUAUGCACAAAUAAAUCGACUUCUUUAUCAUUUUACUACUUUGAGUUUUGAUUCUCACUUCUCACAAGUGAUUUUUUUCAUAUAAUCCUUGAAAUUUAGGAACUAAGAGUUUUAGCGACACUUUAUUUUAUCUUUCUUUCUUUUGAUUGUUAUACUGUAAGAAAAUUACUACGCGAUUGAACAUUGAUAUGAUCUGCAUAUUGUUUGGAUGAAAUUUUUGUCAAUGUAUAAUCUUUAGAAGAGAAUUGGAAUAUAUAAAGUAAUUAACUUUAUUGUUUGUGGUAAAUAAUUCAGUAAUUCCAUUUGAAUUUCUCCAUGGAAAGGGAGAAGCAAAAAAGAUUUUGAAAUUGUGUAGUAACGUAAAAGAGUAAUUACAUGUGCUUCUUUGCUUCUUCUUCUUCUUCUUCUUUUUCUUCUUUUUCUAUCUAGUGAAAUAGGGUUUUGAAGUUUUGUAAAUGCUUAUUUUAGUGAAAAGUAGUAAAAUUAAAGAAUUCGCAUUUCUUUAAAAUUAUUUAGCUGAUUAUAUAUAUAUAUAUAUAAAUUUUAGCAACUUUUUUUUAAUUUUCUUUCAUUUUCAUAUUUUCAUAUCUUCCUUCGUGCUAAUGUGGAAGUCUUCGAUAUGAAGAGGUAAGCAAAAAGUUUGUUUUGUAACUUUUAUUAUUUAACUUUCUGUAAGAUUUUUCAUAUAAAUAUUGUUGAAUCUUUAAAUCUUUGUCUAUUCACCUUAUGAUAUACUUUGGAGUUGUUUAACAGGAAUGCAAGCUAAAUUUUAGAGGGAUGAAACUGUUCACAUGUAUUUAUUCCUACAAAUUGUCAAUCAAAAGUUGUGAUCGUCCUAUGCUAUGGAGUGCAAUAUUCUCAAUCAAAAGGUCAUCAUCUCAACGUAACGAAAUUUUUUAUUUCUUUCGCGUUGAAAUCACUAUAUAUACCUGGAUUACUGAAACAAAUUGGUAUAUAAAAUCUAAUCAUAUACUUUUGCUUGUGAAUUAAAAUAUUUUUUUAAUAGUCAACUUCUUUUUGUAACUAAAUGUUUUGCAAAUUGUCCUUUUUUUGUUUUUUUGUAUAAUUUUAUGGGUAUUUUAAAUUGGAUAAGAUUUAUGUCUCUUUUUGUAUAUUGUAGACAUUAUUGGUUUUUAUCUUAUUUUUCAGGAAUAUGAAAUUUAGUUAAAUUUAUUUUUGCUUAUCAGUUUAUGGUGUUUACAUUUGGAUUUUUGUGUUUAUAUUACCACAGUUGAAUCAAAUAAAAAAAUCAUAGGGAGAAAGGCUGGAAAAAAAGCUCAAGCUCAGGCUGGUUAAGGCAAUACCAAGAUAAAAAUGAUAGUUUGGCUCGUGAGUUUAACUAUUACAAAG
rnacentral:lncRNA from 1 species